rnacentral:rRNA from 1 species
AUUGAACGCUGGCGGCAUGCCUUACACAUGCAAGUCGAACGGCAGCACGGGAGCUUGCUCCUGGUGGCGAGUGGCGAACGGGUGAGUAAUACAUCGGAACGUACCCUGAAGUGGGGGAUAACGUAGCGAAAGUUACGCUAAUACCGCAUAUUCUGUGAGCAGGAAAGAGGGGGAUCGCAAGACCUCUUGCUUUAGGAGCGGCCGAUGUCGGAUUAGCUAGUUGGUGAGGUAAAGGCUCACCAAGGCGACGAUCCGUAGCGGGUCUGAGAGGAUGAUCCGCCACACUGGGACUGAGACACGGCCCAGACUCCUACGGAGGCAGCAGUGGGGAAUUUUGGACAAUGGGCGCAAGCCUGAUCCAGCCAUGCCGCGUGAGUGAAGAAGGCCUCGGUUGU